CUUGACCCUGACCAGCCUGAUAUGGCCACCCCAAGAAGCAAGCAGGGUUGGGCCUGUUUAGUACUUGAAUGGGAGACUUCCUUGGAAUGCCAGGUGUUGCCAGGU
rnacentral:rRNA from 12 species